ensembl:lncRNA
UACACAUAUGUCCACUUGGUGGUCAUGUUUGGCUACAGAUUCUCAUGUUGUAGUUGUUUUCCUAGAACAUGAUGCCAGGCCAGAAUCCAUCCUUCUUUUCUAAUUAGGAAAUGGUUCCUAAGUGAUUAUAUGGCCACAACAAAUCAAGGUUUUAGGGCGCCAAAGACAGACAGACUUUCAACACCCUGUGUUCUCAGCAGAGACAAUAUCAUGUACGGGCUGAGUCAUCAAAAUCAACAAGACAGGUAGUCAAAAGGAUCCUGGUAACACCUGUGGGAGAAUAAAGUAGAUGUAAGAUAAAAGGUCCACUCACCAAAAUCAUUAAAUUAAAAAUCCUGCCUAUCCUUAUACUGUCCAGAGGACAAAUGAGCAGCAUUGUAUACAGACCAUUUGCAAUUAAGAGCAGUAAUUUAGCUUCUGUUCCUGUAAUUACAACUUCUCCUGUGUGGACAGACAGAUCCCUCAUUGUGUCUGGAACAAUCGCUGCAUUCCAAACACAAAGCAAGCCAAAGUAGCAUACCCCAGGGCCGGCUCUUUCAACAGUCUAUCGCUCAACAGCUCCAGCUCGAGGACCCGGUUUCCUGCCAUUGUUAGCACGUUGAGCCUGGAAUUCCGUCCAAAUGGAUUUGACCCCUUUACUAAACAGCAGUGCAUAUUUCCCUGAUUAGUAUAUUCCUGUGUUUAGACGGGAAGUGGCAGGAUUGGGGGAGGUGAAGGGAGAAAGACAAGAAGAAUAACAAGAAAAAAAAAUCUUGCUAUUUAUGCCAUAAUGAUAACAACCUGGAACUCUGGCUUCAUCCUCAAGUGUAAUAAAAAUGCUCACCCGUACAUAAAUACACAUACAUCUUUCAAAAAUCCUGUGUUACAUGUGUGCAAUAAAGUAACCGGACUGGGGAUGAGCAAGCACACCUGGCUUCCUUAUGAAGUAAAUAGUUACUGCUCUGGAGGCUAUGUUUAUUCUAAACAGGAGAAUGCAGAAAAGUAUAAACUAUAAUCUCUAGUGUUUGCCCUUAUCUACAUGAGUUCUCUUCCUUAAAGAUAUUAUUUUGUUUCAUGAUAACACUGAUUAAGGGCCUUUGGUGUUAGGCACCUGGAGGGAUUCCUAGUUGUACAAGACUGCAAGGGCCUUUCUCCACAGAAUGCCUUCAAGCGUCACAGCCUACUUUUUUGCUGUUUUCUCUAAAGUUGAAGCAGCUGUCUAUACAUUUUAUUACCCUUUAUAUCUACCUCAUAUAGAUCAAUACACUAUAUGCUCUUUAGCAAAUAUUUAAUUACCACAUGUGUAAUAAGAUCUAUUAGCAAAUGAGCCAAAGACAGAGAAAAUAUAAUCCACUAUUUAAAAGCCUAUGAAGUUAUCUAAUUUUUAAACUUAGGUGCCUUUAAAGACACCAUCAAAAGAGUAAAAAGACAACCCGCAGAAUGGAAGAAAAGUUUUGCAAUCAUGUAUCUGAGAAGGGACUUGUAUCUAGAAUAUAUAGGGAGCUGUUAAAACUCAAAUAAAAUAACUCAAUUAAAAGUGGGAAAGAAUGUGAAUAGACAUUUCUCCAAAUAAGGUAUACAAACGGCCAACAGACACAUUAAAGAUGCUUAAUAUUGUUAGCCAUCAGAGAGACACAAAUCAAAACCACAGUGAGAUACCACUACACAUCCGCUAAGAUGACUGUAAUAAAAAAAGAGAGAUAAUAACAAGUGUCCGUAAGAAUGCAGAGACCUGGGAAGCCUCAGACACUGCUAAUGCGAUUGCAAAGUGGUGCCGAUACUUCAGAAAACAAUCUAGCAGUUCCUCAAACAUUUAAAUGUAGAGUUACCAUAUGAUUCAGCAAUUCCACUCCCAGAGUAUAUCCCUAAGAGAAAAACAUAUAACCACACAAAAACCUGUACAUUAAUGUGUGUGGCAGCAUUAUUCGUAAUAGCCCCAAAGUGAAAACAACUGAACAGUCAACAGUUGACGAAUGGAUAAAUAAAAGGUGAUAUAGCCACAUGACAGAAUGUUAUUCAGCAAUAAAACAAAAUGAAGUACUGCAUUUUGCAACAUACCUGAACCCUAAAAACAUUCUAAGUAAAAGGAGCCAGGUGCUAAUACCCACAUUUUUUAAGAUUUCAUCUUAUGAUAUAUCCAGACCCGACAAACAAUAGAGCUAGAAAGUAGAUUAGUAGUUGCCCAGGGGCAACAUACAGAAAUUUCUCCAAAGAAAAUGCCGAAAUGGCCAAAUAGGAUUAUUUGGGACUGACAGUUAAGAGGUGUGGGGUUUCUUUUUAGGAUACUCAAAACAUUCUAAAAUUGAUUAUAUUGAUAGAUGCACAGCCCUGUGAAUACAUUAAAGGCCAUCAAUCGGACAAUUUAAAUGAGUGAAUUGUAUAUUAGAUGAAUUGUAUUUCAACAAAACUUAAAAAAAAACAACUGUGAGUUUUAUACAUACUCAUAAUUUGCUAACAGACUUCAUUGAAAAAGCAUGAACCUUGGCAGUCUUGUCUGAACAUUGACCCAACUCAAAACAGCUAAGUAAAAAGGCACGUCCCUUUUGUCUCUGACCUCUGUGUCCUCACCUGUAAAUGAGAAGGGUGGACAGAUGCUCUCUGAGGACCUUCUCCCUCCUACUUCUUUCAAAAAACAGUGAUGUCCCAAGUAAUUGUGCUGAUAAAAUGGUCUGACUGUUCUUUGAACUCUCUGAAGUUAUCAUAUUCCUUUCCUUGGUUUUUAAAAUUCCCCCACGGACUCCACCGGGUAGUUAAAAUAAUAAGUUAAUUGUGUUUGAUUUCAAUGAAAGUGAGGUGUUUUAAAUUAGCGUGGUUUGUUUAUUUGCUGAUAACAGCCUUUUUCUGUGUGCUCGGUUGAAGGGUGAACCAGCAAAAUCUGCUUACUAGGAACCAGGCUCUGGGGGCGCCCUUCCUCUUCACGAGUCCUUAUUUCCCCCCCUGCUCAUUGUUAUUUCUCAGGGCCCUUCCUGUAAGAUUUUGAGCUUUUAGGUUGCUAGCCCAGCACCACGGGACCUGUAGAUCAGUCCUGGCCUGUGGACGAAUCAUAUCGUGGCUUAAUAUUUUUGGGACAUGAAUUUUGUUGUUAUAGUUUCGACUUUUUUUUUUUUUUUUUUUUUUUUUAAGUGGUGGGCAUGGGGGAGCUCUCUCUGACAAACUGCCGCAUGGUUUGGUUUACUUUACUUUGAUGUGGUUUAGUUUGCUUUGGUUUGGUAGAUUACAGUAGCCUUCAAAAACGUUUGAAUAAGCAGUAGUUAACUUUUCUCUGCACCUCGUUAGGGAGUUACAAUGAGAGCAAAUCUCAGGCCAGAUUCUCACACACAGUCGCCUAUUUGAUAAACGUUCAUUAACCAAGCAGGCUCAGAACAGUUCAUCAGCUGGCUCUCCAAACUUGACCAAGUCCCAGCUCUGUUCCUUGAGGUCCUCCAAACACGUCAUAUAGGAUGUUCAUUCAAAGCAGACACAGAAGUAUUCCUGGGCAAGUGUCAAAACAUUGUAAGGGGCACCGUCUCAUCGCUUAAACCAGUGGCAGGGGGUAGGACCAAAUGGGGCUCAAUCAAAGAAAAUAUCCCCAAGGGAAUGGGUCUAUCAUUUUGAUGACUCUUAGGUCCUGUUCAUUCACAGAGAAAGAGCACCUCGGAGCUCAAAUUUACACAUCUUGAAUCCCUUUAAAUUCACCAGUGUGGAGUAAUUACUAGAGUAAAAACUAGAGUCUUGUUAAUUAAUAAGACUCUAGUUUUAUCAAUAAAAACCCACUUUUGAUACCUAAUAUAACAACUGGCGAAGCAGUGAUAGUGGAACAAGGAGGUUGUAGAAGAUGUGAAGUCUUUCUGAUAGAGCUCCGGCUGGCCGUCUCCUACAUAGAUCUUCUUGACCUGCACCUGAGAUUGGCCUAAACUAACACAGAGUGUGGUUCUCAUUAUACCCAAGUAUUUCUAAGUAGUUUACAAGAUCAUAACAAGGCUAUAAAUUAACAUUUUGUAAAAUAAACCUCUUUGAAAAGAUACUUUACAUCACAUCAUUUUAUAGAGAAUUUCUUCCAUCCCCAUAUUUAUCUUUUUGCUUUUUUUAAUUUUUAUUUAUUUACUUAUGUGCUUUUUAGGGCCUCACCCACAGCAUAUAGAAGUUCCCAGGCUAGGGGCUGAAUCAGAGCUACAGCUGCUAGCCUGCACCACAGCCACAGCAACAUGGAAUCCACGCUGCAUCUGCAGCCUACACCUCAGCUCAUAGCAACGCUGGAUCCUUAACCCACAGAGCAAGGCCCAGGAUCAAACCCACAUCCUCAUGGAUACUAGUCAGAUUCAUUUCUGCUGAGCCACGAUGGGAACUGCCCCCAUAUUUAUCUUUUAAAUGGAUUUUUAAUCUGCUUUUUUUUUUCUUUAUUGAAGUAGAGUUGAUGUACCGUGUUGUGUUAGUUUUAGGUGUACAGCAAAGUGAUUCGAAUAUUCUCCUUUGUAGGGUACUACAGAAUAUUGAGUUUAAUUCCCUGUGCUAUACAGUAAGUCCUAAUCUGGUUUUCUUAAAUUUAGUCUUCCAUGUGACAAAAAUGCUGGUACUGUACCAGGCUCACAGUACCUGUGAGCAUUUGGAGGGUAAUGAAGAUGAAAGAUCGAUGUCCACCUACCGACAUUGCCUGCUACCUGAGGAGGGUCCUUUAAACAAUAUUGGAAGCAGGGGGGCUGCCACUCCCAGCCUGGACCCCACACUCCUCUUAUGGGUCCCUUCUUAUCCCCAGAGAGCUGUAUUGGGUGAACUUUUUUUCGAUACCACUCCAGUCACACACUGAAAAGUCUUAUAAGUUUUGUGGUUCAGGGACCACUUUGAAAAUGUAGUAACAAACUUUAAAUACCAUUUCAGAGAAUUUACAGACCCUGGCAGCACCACCACUGAUAGCACCACCACCAUGUCAACCACUGCCAGCUUCAUCUUCCGAUGUCCCAGGUCCACAGAGGUUUUCAAAUGAACCACCUCUGCCAUUAUGACCUCCGGAAAACCAGUUAACCUUCACGAGCCUUCAUCUUCCCUAUAAUCACCUGUCACAGUAUCUGUCCUACUUCAUCACAGCAGUCCGAGGAGGAAGUGAAAUAUCACCUAUGGGAGCACACUGGAAUUGUAUAAAUUCAAUUACUGUAUAAAUACAUCGUAAUUUUGUUAAUAAAAUUAUAACCCCCUCUAA